UACGAAGGGGGCUAGCGUUGCUCGGAAUUACUGGGCGUAAAGGGCGCGUAGGCGGAUAGUUCAGUCGGGGGUGAAAGCCCGGGGCUCAACCUCGGAACUGCCUUCGAUACUGGCUAUCUUGAGUACGGGAGAGGUGUGUGGAACUCCGAGUGUAGAGGUGAAAUUCGUAGAUAUUCGGAAGAACACCAGUGGCGAAGGCGACUUACUGGACACAUAUUGACGCUGAGGUGCGAAAGCGUGGGGAGCAAACAGG
rnacentral:rRNA from 1 species